CUUUCAACAUUUUUCUCAGAAAUGAACUUUCUUUCUCCCUAGAAAGUGAGCACAAAAGCAGCAACACUUUGAAAUCAGUGAUACAUGUGUUUCACCUCUGGACUGGUAGGCAGAGCACAACGGAACAAUGCUUAGCCCUGAAGCUACUGGAAGAAAUUCCUUCUCUUGAAGCCUGUGUGUCAAGCUCAAAAGAAUGCUUUUUUAAGGAACCUGAAUAUUUUUCUAAGCUGGACUGUGGUGCAUGAUUAUUUAUUCUUCAUUGCCUCCAGCUUUACUAGUCCAUCAUCUGCCACUUAGCCAUGCUUCUUGCUUCAGCAGUGGGCCCUGGAAGUGCCUUGGCAUUAUUGAAGUGAAAAGGUGGUGAUGGUCCAAGUGGGUCAUUGUUUUUUCUCUGCUCGUGUUGCCUCCCUGUUUAAAUAGCUACAGCAAGCUUGAAGAUCAGUCUGCAAGCAAAAUCCUCACAGUGAGCUAACACAGUCCGGCAGUUUGGUGUCCUUCAUUUUUGUUCCCAUGUCUUUUUUAUUUUACUGAAAUGCUGCCCUCGAGUGGCGACCAGCUGAUUGAUCCCAACGGGAGACCGAGCUGUUCCUGCUGUCUGGCCGGUGCCCUGCUGCCCUUUGGGAGGUAAAUGUUCCUGCUGGCCCGAGCACAGCGGGCUGCAGGGUCAGCAUCCAGCAGGAGCAGCUGCUCAGCCUGCUCUGUGCAGGAACCGGCUGGAGGU